CCCUACGGGGGGCAGCAGUGAGGAAUAUUGGUCAAUGGUCGGGAGACUGAACCAGCCAAGCCGCGUGAGGGAUGAAGGUACAGAGUAUCGUAAACCUCUUUUGUCAGGGAACAAAGGCGGGGACGCGUCCCCGGAUGAGUGUACCUGAAGAAAAAGCAUCGGCUAACUCCGUGCCAGCAGCCGCGGUAAUACGGAGGAUGCGAGCGUUAUCCGGAUUUAUUGGGUUUAAAGGGUGCGCAGGCGGUCUGUUAAGUCAGCGGUCAAACCCCGGGGCUCAACCCCGGCCCGCCGUUGAAACUGACAGU
rnacentral:rRNA from 1 species